UGCGUAGGCGGCUUGGUAAGUCACGUGUGAAAUCCCGUUGCUCAACGACGGGGCCGCAUGUGAGACUGCCUGGCUAGAGCUUGGUAGGGGCGAGUGGAAUUCCCGGUGUAGCGGUGGAAUGCGUAGAGAUCGGGAAGAACACCGGUGGCGAAGGCGGCUCGCUGGGCCAAUGCUGACGCUGAGGCACGAAAGCGUGGGGGAGCAAACA
rnacentral:rRNA from 1 species